GUUGGCGAGGAACUUGGAGCGGCUUCAGCUAGCUCAGACCCUCUGACGGACUACGGAGGCAUCAACGACAAUGAAACUUCAACGGUGGCCAAUGCAAGCAUCUCCUCAACUGCUUGCCCAGAAGAACAUGACUGCUUUUCAGCUAUCGUGGGUUCAGAAGGCAGAUCGUCAUUGGCCUCUUCCUCAUCCAAGAAUAAGAGG
rnacentral:lncRNA from 1 species